rnacentral:rRNA from 1 species
UACGUAGGUGGCAAGCGUUGUCCGGAUUUACUGGGCGUAAAGAGCGCGCAGGCGGCUGGUCAAGUCCGAUGUGAAAUCUCCCGGCUUAACUGGGAAACUGCAUCGGAAACUGAUCGGCUUGAAGGUGGGAGAGGGUAGUGGAAUUCCCGGUGUAGCGGUGAAAUGCGUAGAGAUGGGGGGAGAACACUCGUGGCGAAGGCGGCCAGCUAGACCAGUUCUGACACUGAGGCGCGACAGCGUGGGGGAGCAAACAGG